rnacentral:rRNA from 1 species
GAUGAACGCUGGCGGCGUGCCUAAUACAUGCAAGUCGAGCGAACGGACGAGAAGCUUGCUUCUCUGAUGUUAGCGGCGGACGGGUGAGUAACACGUGGAUAACCUACCUAUAAGACUGGGAUAACUUCGGGAAACCGGAGCUAAUACCGGAUAAUAUUUUGAACCGCAUGGUUCAAAAGUGAAAGACGGUCUUGCUGUCACUUAUAGAUGGAUCCGCGCUGCAUUAGCUAGUUGGUAAGGUAACGGCUUACCAAGGCAACGAUGCAUAGCCGACCUGAGAGUGUGAUCGGCCACACUGGAACUGAGACACGGUCCAGACUCCUACGGGAGGCAGCAGUAGGGAAUCUUCCGCAAAGGGCGAAAGCCUGACGGAGCAACGCCGCGUGAGUGAUGAAGGUCUUCGGAUCGUAAAACUCUGUUAUUAGGGAAGAACAUAUGUGUAAGUAACUGUGCACAUCUUGACGGUACCUAAUCAGAAAGCCACGGCUAACUACGUG